rnacentral:rRNA from 1 species
GCAUGGCCGUCGUCAGUUCGUACCGUAAGGCGUUCUCUUAAGUGAGAUAACGAACGAGACCCUCGCCGUUAAUUGCUAGUGUUCUCUCCGAGGGCACGCACAUUAACGGGACCGCUGUCGCUAAGGACAGAGGAAGGAGAGGUCAACGGUAGGCCGUAUGCCCCGAAUCUCCUGGGCUACACGCGCGCUACAAAGGUUGGGACAAUGGGCUCCGACAUCGAAAGGUGAAGGCAAUCUCGAAACCCAAUCGUAGUUCGGAUUGAGGGUUGUAACUCACCCUCAUGAAGCUGGAUUCCGUAGUAAUCGCUUGUCAACAUCAAGCGGUGAAUAUGCCCCUGCUCCUU